UGUCUAUGAUGACAAAUAUUUGCUACUCUUGACAAGAUGGAUGACGAUAAAACAACCACCUCAUUUGGGAUCUGAGACA